rnacentral:rRNA from 1 species
GAUGAACGCUGGCGGCGUGCCUAAUACAUGCAAGUCGAGCGAAUGGAUUAAGAGCUUGCUCUUAUGAAGUUAGCGGCGGACGGGUGAGUAACACGUGGGUAACCUGCCCAUAAGACUGGGAUAACUCCGGGAAACCGGGGCUAAUACCGGAUAACAUUUUGAACCGCAUGGUUCGAAAUUGAAAGGCGGCUUCGGCUGUCACUUAUGGAUGGACCCGCGUCGCAUUAGCUAGUUGGUGAGGUAACGGCUCACCAAGGCAACGGUGCGUAGCCGACCUGAGAGGUGCAUCGGCCACACUGGGACUGGUACACGGACCAGACUCCUACAGGAGGCAGCAGUAAGGAAUCUUCCGCAAUGGACGAAAGUCUGACGGAGCAACGCCGCGUGAGUGAUGAAGGCUUUCGGGUCGUAAAACUCCGUUGUUAGGGAAGAACAAGUGCUAGUUGAAUAAGCUGGCACCUUGACGGUACCUAACCAGAAAGCCACGGCUAACUACGUGCCAGCCGCCGCGGUAA